UACGUAGGUGGCAAGCGUUGUCCGGAAUUACUGGGUGUAAAGGGAGUGUAGGCGGGACAUUAAGUCAGAUGUGAAAUAUACAGGCUCAACUUGUAGACUGCAUUUGAAACUGGUGUUCUUGAGUGAAGUAGAGGCAAGCGGAAUUCCUAGUGUAGCGGUGAAAUGCGUAGAUAUUAGGAGGAACACCAGUGGCGAAGGCGGCUUGCUGGGCUUUUACUGACGCUGAGGCUCGAAAGCGUGGGGAGCAAACAGG
rnacentral:rRNA from 1 species